GACAGAGGUCCCGAGCGUUAGGCGGAAUCACUGGGCUUAAAGCGUGUGUAGGCGGCGGCCUAAGUACCUUGUGAAAUCCCACGGCUCACCCGUGGAACUGCUCGGUAUACUGGGUCGCUUGAGCCACUUAGGGGCUACCGGAACAAAUGGUGGAGCGGUGAAAUGCGUAGAUAUCAUUUGGAACGCCAAUGGUGAAAACAGGUAGCUGGGAGUGUGCUGGCGCUGAGACACGAAAGCCAGGGGAGCAAACGGG
rnacentral:rRNA from 1 species